rnacentral:sRNA from 1 species
CUCUGCUGUCCCUGAUGGCCUCUGCCGUCCCCUGGGAGUUCUUACCCCUGGAUGCGCGGUGCCUGUCUGGUCUCAACCUCCCCAGCUCUGCUUUUCCAUCUCCGAGCCUUGAAAAGAUCUUUUGAGGUCGAGGAGGUCGAGACACCCAACUCCACCCCACCCCGGAGGGUCCAGACUCCCCUACUCCGAGCCACUGUGGCCAGCUCCACCCAGAAAUUCCAGGACCUGGGCGUGAAGAACUCAGAGCCGUCGGCCCGCCACGUGGACUCCCUAAGCCAGCGCUCCCCCAAGGCGUCCCUGCGGAGGGUGGAGCUCUCGGGCCCCAAGGCGGCUGAGCCGGUGUCCCGGCGCACUGAGCUGUCCAUUGACAUCUCGUCCAAGCAGGUGGAGAACGCCGGGGCCAUCGGGCCGUCCCGGUUCGGGCUCAAGAGGGCUGAGGUGUUGGGCCACAAGACGCCAGAACCGGCCCCUCGGAGGACGGAGAUCACCAUCGUCAAACCCCA